GAUCAUGGCUCAGGAUGAACGCUGGCGGCGUGCUUAACACAUGCAAGUCGAACGAAGCACUUUUAUCGAUUUCUUCGGAAUGAAGUUUUAGUGACUGAGUGGCGGACGGGUGAGUAACGCGUGGGUAACCUGCCUCACACAGGGGGAUAACAGUUAGAAAUGGCUGCUAAUACCGCAUAAAACAGCAGAGUCGCAUGACUCAACUGUCAAAGAUUUAUCGGUGUAAGAUGGACCCG
rnacentral:rRNA from 1 species